rnacentral:rRNA from 1 species
AAAUUGAAGAGUUUGAUCAUGGCUCAGAUUGAACGCUGGCGGCAGGCCUAACACAUGCAAGUCGAACGGUAGCACAGAGAGCUUGCUCUCGGGUGACGAGUGGCGGACGGGUGAGUAAUGUCUGGGAAACUGCCUGAUGGAGGGGGAUAACUACUGGAAACGGUGGCUAAUACCGCAUAACGUCGCAAGACCAAAGAGGGGGACCUUCGGGCCUCUUGCCAUCAGAUGUGCCCAGAUGGGAUUAGCUUGUUGGUGAGGUAACGGCUCACCAAGGCGACGAUCCCUAGCUGGUCUGAGAGGAUGACCAGCCACACUGGAACUGAGACACGGUCCAGACUCCUACGGGAGGCAGCAGUGGGGAAUAUUGCACAAUGGGCGCAAGCCUGAUGCAGCCAUGCCGCGUGUAUGAAGAAGGCCUUCGGGUUGUAAAGUACUUUCAGCGGGGAGGAAGGUGUUGUGGUUAAUAACCGCAGC